ensembl:lncRNA
AUGAAUAUACUUCUUCACACGCAGUUUUGGAAAGCAAUUGAAAAGAGAGAAGAAAGGAGUGAUUGUCUCACAAUUGGGUGUUCACCCACCAUUUGCUUUGAUGGUCCAGGAAUAGAGAGGUUCAGUGAGUGCCUUCCCACCUACUGGGUUUGCCUGCUGCCGCCACUGUUCUGAAGAGUCUCCAUGUCUCUCAUGCAACCGGGGGAUUUGGCAGAGAUACAUACUGACUUGUCUUGCCUUUUGUAUGAGAGGACUAGUCAAGUGGAAAACUACGGAGUGAGCUGCAGAUCAGAUCACUGCACAGCCAUCCUUACGCAUGGAUAAACUAACAUGUCAAUACACACGGCAUGAGGCUGCCUCUCCUGGCCUUCCUUUCUGGCAGAAAAGCAGUUGCAGCUAAUGAAGUCAUGGGAGAUAACAGACAGAAGGUAAUAGAUCUGCUUACUUGAUACCAGUUAGGUCUCAUCUUGACAACAGUUGUAGGGUCUGUGGUUUUGAGACAGAUAAGCUGAAAAUGAUUUGAAGGAAAGCUGAGAAGUGAACAGGACUUUUCUGAAGCAGUUCCUACUAGGAAGGGUGAAAAGAUAUUUGAGAAGACAAAGGCCUUUAUCACACCACAUAUUUAUACCAUUGUUAGUGUUACACAGUCUUGUGAGAGUAGCAGAUUGUCAAUGCUCUCUAUCUCUUGCUGCUUUUGCAUUUUUAAGAGCAUCAUUUCCACAUUUUUAAAUCUGCCAUAAUGGUGUCACUACUGACUCCUUUACCCUGCUUCUCAUUUCAUGAUUAGUUCCUCUAAACAAAAAUUUAAAAUUGCAACCAUAACAGUGCUUUAACAGCAGAAUAGUAGGAUGGUAGGACAUGUUGAUAUAAGGGCAGAGAAAAGAAACCCAGAAAUUAGAAGAAGGGGUUAAAAGGAGUUUAAGAGGGGUGAUCUGUGGCUUUUCUGCAAGAGAUUUCUUUGUGAAUGUUUGAGGAGGGAAAAGAGGAUCAUUAAUAGACUAUUUCAAUGUGAAAAUACACAUUUUCAAUGACUUAGAUCCCUUUUACAUGACCUUCUAUCCUGGGAUCUGAUCCCAGGUUAUCUGCUUUGAAGUGGAUUAUAUGAGUCUACACUGCCAGAUAAUCUAGGAUAAAAAAAUAAUCUGGGAUCGGAUCCUGGGAUAUAAGAACAAUGUAGAAGGGGCCUCUUUAAAGCAACGGUACCUGAGGUGCAACACUGUCAUGGGAGAGGGUUGAAGCACCAGUGGGAGUAACACAUUGCCAUAGCAUCCCAAUAGUGUAGUGUGACAGUCUUCAGAAGAAGAGUGUAGAGGUAAAAUGAACCUACAUAGUUAUCUCAACAGUGCUAAAGUAGUUCAUUUUCCCUGCCAAUCAAAAGAAGAUGAGAACAAAUAAUCCAAAGUAGUUUUAGGCAUAUUCCACAAAUGAACCUGAACCAGCUAAAUGUUUGAAUAUAAGUUUGUUUAGUCAUUAAUAUCUUCUGCUCCAUGAAUGCAACUUGAUUUCCAUUUUGGUACACAGUACAGGAAGAGUGCCUGCUUCAAGCAGCUUCCAAUCUAAAAGGUUACAAAGGAUAAAUAACAAAGGACAAGAAGAAAUACAGCACAUGUGUCGAAAAGUUUCAGAAGAGUGAAUUUCAUUAUGGAUUUCUGAAUAAAAGGUGAAUCCCUAAAGACAUUUUGUUUCAACUUCUGCUAUAUUCAAUUUCAUGUAAAGGACACCCCCCUCCAAACUGUUGAUUUAAGACUGAAGUUAAAAUUCCCCCCUCUUGGCUCAAGCUUUAUAUAGUUAGAAAUAUACAAUCUGGGUCUUAAGAAACAUAUCCUGUCAGGCCUGUAGCGAGGGGGGGGGGGUUUAGGGGUUCAACCCCCCCCCCUCAAAUUUUUCAGGUUAAAAAAAACUGGUUUACUCAUGAAUUUUAACUGGCUACGGCCCUGUGUCCUGUUAACAUUACAGGCUAUGCUAACAAAGCACCUAACAAUAAAAGACCACUUGGAGCACAUCUACACUGACCUUUUCGGUUGGUCCACUGUGAGAAUGAUUAGAUUGACAUGUCUGGAACAGUUUUGAGGCCAGGAAGGUGUACUGGGUUUCAUCUCUGGAUUGCAUAAGUCUCUUGUGUCAUCAAGUCUCCAGACCUCAAUGAGUAACUAGAUUAGAAAUAAGAUUAGAGUGAGGGAUUUCCCUCCCCCCCCAAUAUUCCUAUGAAUGCUUCCCAGAAUGCGCUUUACUCAUCCGUUUUGUCACUAUCUCCUCCCCUUUGAAAAUGUAGCAAUGGAAUCUCUGUGAGAUCACUUCCUUUUUAAAGGUACAGUAGUCUCUCUUAUCCAAUAUAAAUGGGCCGGCAGAAUGUUGGAUAAGCGAAAAUGUUGGAUAAUGAGGGAUUAAGCAAAAGCCUAUUAAAUAUUGAAUUACGUUAUGAUUUUACAAAUUAAACACCAAAACAUCAUGCUUUACAACAAAUCAACAGAAAAAGCAAUUCAAUACAUGGUAACAUUAUGUAGUAAUUAUUGUAUUCACAAAUUUAGCACCAAAACAUCACAAUGCAUUGAAAACAUUGAUUACUAAAAA